rnacentral:rRNA from 1 species
GACAGAGGUGCCGAGCGUUAGGCGGAGUCACUGGGCUUAAAGCGUGUGUAGGCGGGUCGUUAAGUACCUUGUGAAAUCCCCCGGCUCAACCGGGGAAUGGCUGGGUAUACUGGCGAUCUUGAGCGAUCCAGGGGCAGAUGGAACAAGUGGUGGAGCGGUGAAAUGCGUAGAUAUCACUUGGAACGCCAAAGGUGAAGACAGUCUGCUGGGGAUCUGCUGACGCUGAGACACGAAAGCCAGGGGAGCGAACGGG